GUCAGAUAGGGGAGUGGUGAAGGGGGAGUAGAAACUAGCUAACAUUUAACAAACUCGUGAUAGUUUCGUGUGUGUGUGUGUGUGUGUGUGCGCGCGCGUGCCCCACGUAGCCAGAUUGAUUAUUAGAAGGUAUUAGAAGGGCUCCUCUGGCAGAACCAGUUUUCAUCUACUCAACAACCUCUUACUCAUGGGUCUUUAUAUAACUUAGGUGAAAGUAUGUCCAUAGGGGAACAGAAAAGAAAGCUGAGAAAGAUGUGCCAGGAGACUUGUGGGAACUAAUCCAAGUGCAACACCUCCUUACCACAAAGGAAAAGGACAGGGUAAAGGAAAUUGGAAAAACCCAUAAGAUGUAUUUGAGGUUCUUUCUAUUCCAGGGAAUUCUUGGUAUGAUAGGACAUGAAAGCUGAGAGAAAACCCUUCUACCUAGGAACUCCGGAGUUUCAACUACCAGAGACUGAAGGCAGGAGAGAAAAACUAAGACAAAUGACUUCAAAGCCUUUCUGAAAUGCCACAGAGGGUCAGGAUUACAAUCUGCCUAUUCUGAUUCUUCUACUAUGGGAAAAAAUCUUUUUCAGAAUUGGGCCUUUCUCUGUUGCCCAGGCUGGAGUGCAGUGAGGCAAUCUUGGCUCACCACAAUCUCUCCCUCCUGGAUUCAAGCAAUUCUCCUGCCUCAGCCUCCCGAGUAGCUGGGAUUACAGGCAUGCACCACUACACCCGGAUAAUUUUUGUAUUUUUAGUAGAGAUGGGGUUUUACCAUGUUGGCCAGGCUGGUCUUGAACUCCUGACCUCGUGAUCAGCCUGCCUCGGCCUCCUAAAGUGCUGGGAUUACAUGCAUGAGCCACUGUGCCCUGCCAACUUGUUAAAUUUUUAAUCAUUCUGCUCACCUUUUGCAACCUUACUGACUUUUGUGUCUACCUUAUCUAGCAGUGGCUGAAAUUUCCUUCUAUGAUUAUAGAUUUGUCUGUUAUUUCUUAUAGAUUUCUCAAUAUUGCUUGUAUUAUUAUUUUAAGUUAAUACCAUUAGGCAUAAAAAUUCAAAAUUGUUAUCGCUUACUGAAUAAAUAAAUCUUAAUCUAUUAUCAAGUAAUUCUUUUUCUUUAGAAAUCGUUUCUGACUGUAAGUUUGCUUUGUUUGAACUUUUG
rnacentral:lncRNA from 1 species